rnacentral:rRNA from 1 species
AUUGAACGCUGGCGGCAUGCUUUACACAUGCAAGUCGGACGGCAGCACAGAGAAGCUUGCUUCUUGGGUGGCGAGUGGCGAACGGGUGAGUAACAUAUCGGAACGUACCGAGCAGUGGGGGAUAACUAAUCGAAAGAUUAGCUAAUACCGCAUAUUUUCUGAGGAAGAAAGCAGGGGACCUUUGGGCCUUGCGCUGUUUGAGCGGCCGCUAUCUGAUUAGCUAGUUGGUGGGGUAAAGGCCUACCAAGGCGACGAUCAGUAGCGGGUCUGAGAGGAUGAUCCGCCACACUGGGACUGAGACACGGCCCAGACUCCUACGGGAGGCAGCAGUGGGGAAUUUUGGACAAUGGGCGCAAGCCUGAUCCAGCCAUGCCGCGUGUCUGAAGAAGGCCUUCGGGUUGUAAAGGACUUUUGUCAGGGAAGAAAAGGGCGGGGUUAAUACCCCUGUCUGAUCACGGUACCUGAAGAAUAAGCACCGGCUAACUACGUG